AUAUGCCGACAUAUGCAGAAUAUAUUGGAAUGAUAGAGAGAAGAUUAGCGUGGCCAUGCGCAAGGAUAACAUGCAAAAUCCUGAAGCGAUCGAAAUUUUU
rnacentral:snRNA from 1 species